UACGUAGGUGGCAAGCGUUGUCCGGAUUUAUUGGGUUCAAAGGGUGCGUAGGCGGCUUUGUAAGUCAGUGGUGAAAUAUGGCAGCUUAACUGUCAAGGUGCCAUUGAUACUGCAGAGCUUGAGUACAGAUGAGGUAGGCGGAAUUGACGGUGUAGCGGUGAAAUGCUUAGAUAUCGUCAAGAACACCUAUAGCGAAGGCAGCUUACUAAGCUGUAACUGACGCUGAGGCACGAAAGUGUGGGGAUCAAACAGG
rnacentral:rRNA from 1 species